GCCGGUGUGGCGGAAUUGGCAGACGCACAAGACUCAAAAUCUUGCGAGGGCAACUUCGUAUGGGUUCAAGUCCCAUCACCGGCA
rnacentral:tRNA from 1 species